rnacentral:sRNA from 1 species
UUUGGGCGUAGCAGGCACCUGCGAAGGACAUGCUGUCCUGUAAUAGAGUUUGUCCAACAAAAUAUUUACAUCUGAGUAUUUUCUAACCAGGUUCUUCUCACUUCUGAGUAUUCCAGUAUUGCAGUAUUGCAGUAUUCAGUAUUCAAGGGAGUCAGCCUUUAGAAAAUGGAACCACCAUAAUCAGUCACCAUUCAACUAUUCAACAGUCAAGAUUCACCAACUUUGGCCUGUCUUACACGGAUACACGGACGGAUGGUUUUGUGAGCCCACUGAGGCCGCCAUUACGGACCAGCCAAUAAGUGACAUACAAAAACUUAAAUAUAAUUCUAUGUAAAAAAAACUGAAUUACAAGUAUAACCAAACGUAUUGAACAGUAUUAAAAUGUAGUUAAUUAU